rnacentral:rRNA from 1 species
AACGAACGCUGGCGGCAGGCUUAACACAUGCAAGUCGAACGCCCCGCAAGGGGAGUGGCAGACGGGUGAGUAACGCGUGGGAAUCUACCGUGCCCUACGGAACAACAGUUGGAAACGACUGCUAAUACCGUAUACGCCCUACGGGGGAAAGAUUUAUCGGGGUAUGAUGAGCCCGCGUUGGAUUAGCUAGUUGGUGGGGUAAAGGCCUACCAAGGCGACGAUCCAUAGCUGGUCUGAGAGGAUGAUCAGCCACAUUGGGACUGAGACACGGCCCAAACUCCUACGGGAGGCAGCAGUGGGGAAUAUUGGACAAUGGGCGCAAGCCUGAUCCAGCCAUGCCGCGUGAGUGAUGAAGGCCUUAGGGUUGUAAAGCUCUUUCACCGGAGAAGAUAAUGACGGUAUCCGGAGAAGAAGCCCCGGCUAACUUCGUGCCAGCAGCCGCCGUAAGAC